rnacentral:rRNA from 1 species
CGGAGGGUGCAAGCGUUAUCCGGAUUCACUGGGUUUAAAGGGUGCGUAGGUGGGCAAGUAAGUCAGUGGUGAAAUCUCCGGGCUUAACCCGGAAACUGCCAUUGAUACUAUUUGUCUUGAAUGUCGUGGAGGUAAGCGGAAUAUGUCAUGUAGCGGUGAAAUGCUUAGAUAUGACAUAGAACACCGAUAGCGUAGGCAGCUUACUACACGAAUAUUGACACUGAGGCACGAAAGCGUGGGGAUCAAACAGGAUUAGAUACCCUGGUAGUCCACGCCCUAAACGAUGGAUACUCGACAUCAGCGAUACACUGUUGGUGUCUGAGCGAAAGCAUUAAGUAUCCCACCUGGGAAGUACGACCGCAAGGUUG